UCUCUGACGUCAGCACGCCGCGGCGGGCCCCGCCCUUCGGCCCGGGUCGGGCGGCGGAGCUGGGUUCCCGGCAGCGCGGACGCGGGCGUGAGCCGCUGCCGGUGCGGCGGCGUGGCCGGCGGAGACCCGGGUCUUCCCCGGCCGUGAGGAGAACGCAGGACGUGUGGGCGAAUACAAGUGGUUUUUUCUUUUCCUGUUUUUCAUUAGAAGCAAUAUUUGUUACAUUUGGAAAAAUCAGGUGCAAAGGAGAACUGGAGGGAAAAUGAGAACUAGAGCUAACUCUUGACCGGUUACUUUAUACUUGGAAUCUCACACACUUGGUGUCAGAAGGGACCUUCGAGGUUUUCUAAGCUAAGGAUGCGUUUCAGUGAGCUGGGAUAAAGAGACGUGCAGGCGACAUGGAGCAUUUGAGGAAUAUACCAAUGGCCUUACCAUUCCAAGAUGCUUUCAGCUGACACCUGGUAGAGAGGCAUAGUGAGGAACAGCCUGAUCCACUCAGUAAGAAUCCAGACAUUGGCCCCAUAAAACCUGGAUCUGCUCUUGCUUGAUGUUAUUUGAAGCAUUCAUCAAGAAAACAUCACUUCACGUAGGAAAGAGAACCAGUGUUCAAGUCCCAGACCUGAAGUUUACUAUCCUUUUUGCCUUGGAUUGAACUGAGUCUCAGUUUCUCAUCUGUCAAAUGGGGAAAUCUUAUAAGAUUAUGACUUCCCCUCCAGACCUUCUCUUACUCCUACCGGGACUGCAAUUGGGCUUAAAGGCAGCAUUCAAGAUAAGGAGAUGAGACCUGGAGUCCACAGAACUGUUCAUUGCAACUAUCUUUACCACCCACAACAGUCCUAAUCUCCCUUCUCUACUUUAUUAUUUUUUUCAAGGUUAAGUCAAGGUCCAGAGUAAAAGGCAUAUACUCCUCACGUCUCACAUCAAAGCAAGAUCCAUAACUCUUUUUAAGCUCUGUCUCUGCACUCCAUCCCACCAUUGACUAAUAAAGUGAUGGUGUAUUUGGAUUGGAUCAUUCAAGGUCUUGUAGAAUUGAAGAGGUAACUGUUCCUGCACUCCAGUGAGUGGAACAUAAAAUUGAGAAGAAUUUUGAGUCACAAGAACUGAUUGGAAUUCAGCCUAGUGACAACAAUCAAAUUAAGGUUCACAUAGCUGCUAAUCUACGACUCUGAGUGGCUUGCUGAUCUAGUCCUAGAAACCGUGUCCUCUGUGACAAUUGUGAAAAUUAAGUAUCACUUUUAAUUCUUCUGAAAUGAAGGUAGUCCAACUAAGGCCAACGUUUUAUGCACUAACAGAUAAAAUGUAUCCCUAACAAAAUAUGCUUAUGUAGUCUUUUCAAAAACACUUUAUCAGUAAUAUAAAAGUGGUCUAUCUUUGAGAGUUCCCAUUAUAAUAAAAGUUUUUGAGAAUCACAGUGAACCAAACAAAAGGCAAUGGGUGUGUUUACUCUUAUUUAUUUCUCUCCUUCCUUCCUCCCUUGCUUCCUUCCUUCUUUCCUUCCUCCUCCCUUACUCCUUCCCUCCCUCUGUCUUUUCUUCUUCUCCUCUUAAUCUUCCUCUUCCUCCUCCUCCUUCUUCAUAAUUAAACAAAACUCAGCAUUUGCAAAUAGAAUAAUGGCUCUAAUCACAUAAUUACUAAAAAUGCAUCUAUAAUCUUUUUUGUUUGAAAAUUAUGAUCAGAGAUGUUAAGAAAAAGAAGGAGGUCAUAAUAAUUGUGUAAUAAGAACAAUUCCUCCAUGAAGAAUAAAAAGCUUUUGUGUAAAAUGAUGCUAGGGGUCUAGUUGCGUAACUCCAAGGAAAUGUAGACAGUGACUGAAUUAUAUGUCUCUGCCAUGGUUUUAUGAACUCACAGAUAAGUGGUGGUAGACACUGUGACUUACAGGUUACCAGGUAGCCUCUGGCCUUAAAAAAAUUUUUAGUGGGGUUUUUUCUGCUAACAAAAAAGCCUCCAAGUAACAAUUAAUGAGUCCCAAGUCCAUCAAAGUUUAUAAGGCAAGAUAUUGUCAUGUGGGUGUGGAGGUAGGGGAGAAUAUAGUAAGAGUCAGUAAAGGUUGGUUCAGUCUCAUUCAAUCUAACACAAUUAUAACAAUAUGACAACUUUGAGCUUCUCAGAUGGGAACAUCAGUAGAGGUCAGCUAAGGAAAUAGUAGAUGCUGACCAAGGGCAAAUCAUCAAAGGAUGUUCAAACUGACCAAAAAUCAUAUAAAAUAUAGUGGAUCAUUCAUAACAGACAAAAAGUGGAACCAACCCAAAUGUUUAUCAACUGAUGAAUAGAUAAACAAAAUGUGGCAUAUCAAUACAAUGGAAUAUCACUCAGCAAUAAAAAGGAAUGAAAUAUUGAUUUAUGCCACAGCAUGGAUAGAUCUUGAAAACUUUAUGCUAAGUGAAAGAAGGCAGACACAAAAGGCCACAUUUUAUAGAAUUACAUGUAUGUGAAUAGUCCACAAAAGGCAAAUCUUUAGAAACAAAGUAGAUUAGUGGUUGCCACAGGCUAGGAAGAGGGGGACAUGAGGAGUGAAUGCUAAUGGGUAUGAGGUUUCUUUUUGGGGUGAUGAAAAUGUUCUAAAAUUAGAUAGUGGUGGUGGUUGCACAUAUCUGCAAAUAUGCUAAAAACUAUUGAAUCUUACACUUUAAAAGGUAAAUUUUGUAGAAUCUGAUGUGUAGCUCAAAAAAAUGAAAAUAAAAAAAGAAUGGGAUAAAUGUAAGCCUCUGUUGAGUAGAUGACUCUUGAACCGACAGUCUGGAGGUGACUGUCCUUUAAUCUUCUGUUAAAGUACUGUAAGGCCACAAGCCCAGCUGGGCUAGGGCGGUAGGAUAUUUUGCCGAGAGACCAAAGAAAUGACCCGGAGGCUGCGAGCAAGACAUAUAGGUUUAUUGGGUUCUACUUACGGGAGUGUGUCCAGUGGUGGCUGGCUGGACGGAAGUGUGCACCCGCAACCACCCCCCAAGAGAAGCUUGCUUAAGUAAGCAGAGAAACAAAGGCUGCAUGCUUGCCAAAGGGCUGUCCUUGGUAUGACCAGCGUUCCCAGAACAGUAGCUCACAUGGAGGGGCUCUGUGUCCCUGUAAGACGUGAUGUUCUUCUCGCGGGAUAAGGGAAGAUCCGGGCUGGCCGGGUCCAGAUCGUUGCAAAUCCCAGUAGCUGGGCUGUCUGCCCAGCAGGCAACCAGAAGGACACAUGGUUGCAAUGGGCUUGGUGGCUUUUGCUGAGCAAGGAAGGCCCAGGCCCUACAAGUACUCUGGGUAUCAGCUUCUAUGGUUUGGAGGUUUGUUUUAUUGCUUUAUUUUUUUCCCCUUUUAAAAAGUCAUAUUGAUGUACUCAUGGUAAGAUUGGACCACUAAAGUAAAACUACUACCAGUGGCAGAUUUUGUGAGAAUCAGAAACAGCUUGAAUACCUGUUAAACCUUCUUUUGGACACAGUUCUGCCAUAUGUUUAACUUGAUUCUACAUACAACUAUAGGGACCAACGAGAGCUUUGCAGUUUGGACAGUAGUGGUUCACAUCCUGUAGGAUAUAAAUAGGAAUAAAGAAAAGCUGGGUAUACCUCCGAGAAUCACAGGAUUUCACAGGAGAGCUGGGUCGGGGCCCCAGCAUUAUAGGUGAGGUCCCCACAUCAUCAUCAUCACCAAUAAUAACAACAGUAGCAACAAUACUGUUUCAAGUACAAAAUCUAACCUCUAGGAGCAUUAACAUGGGAUGAGCGAAGGCUGGGAGUAGUUAGCGAAAAGAUUCAGGUCCUUUUCAUCUGGGCCUGAACGCUAGAGCUAGUCAAGGAGUAGGGAUCAGAGAGAUGCAGAAACAAUUGUUAAUGGCCACAGUAUCUUUAUAGAAAACAGUCAAAGUUGGCAUGGAAGAAGAAAGAGGGACUGUUAAAAUUGUCUUAAACCUGACAUUUAAGUGCUCCCACGCCAUGCAGCAAGUUGAAACCGGUUCCUACUAACUUUUUAAGAACAUUUAAUGGCCCAAACCCCAUAAAAUUGGGUAAAAAAGACUCUGAUUAUUUGAUAUCUAAAAUAACCCUUGCUGUCUCCAGCUGGCAGGAACCAGGCUGAGAAACUAUCUUAAACUCUAUGAAGGAAAUAUUCCUCAGUACUUAUUCAUAUGUGGCCUAGUACGAUAACUAAAAAGAAAGGACCUCCCAGUGAAUGGAGAGGCAAAGGUCACAGAGAACAGUGGACUGGGGGACCCUCUGUUUGAGCAGUAUUGGGGCCUAGUCCAGAAACAUUUCUAGUGCAGGGGAAGGGGCCUACAAAAAUCUCUGGUUCUUCCCCUGAUCUUCUGAAUGGCCGUAUUUAUUUGAUGACUAGAAGAACAGAAAAUUAGUAGUUAAUUUUGCUUUUCAUUAAAUAUUUCUCGCUCUUUUCCUUCUGGGCAGAGGAUAGGAUUACACUUUCCUAUUCACUUUAGAUAGGUGUGGUCAUCUGAUUUCCUUUAGCUAAUAAAGUGAGAACAGAAGUGAUGUAUGUAACUUCCAAAGGGAAAUUUUAUAAACCAGCGCCUGGUUUUUAUUGAUAU
rnacentral:lncRNA from 1 species